AGACCGCAAGAGGAAGUUUUCUCUUCCCUUGCGGGAAGCAGUGAAGCCAAAGAGAAAUUUGAACCACCACUCCCCGAGGGACACCCAGAGAGACAACCUUCUCCUUCUGAUGCUGACUUCCAUUGCUCCAUCCCCAGCACAGUGCCUUAUGUUCGGUGGGCACUUACUGAAUGACUGCAGAUUCCUCUUACUUAAAAAGAAGGCAUCAGAGACACCCCUCAGGGCAGAAUCAGUGGAAGGUGACCAUGCAUUGGUAUCCAGUGCACCUGAGACCAGCUGCUGCGGACACCUUGUCCUCGUGGACUCCCACUUGGGGGCAGUGGUUCUCAUGUGGUAGGAGGAUGGACGAGGCGCGAGUGCAGAACUGUCCUGGCUCCACCCACAGCUGAUUUCCUGCUGCCUGCGUCCAGAGCUGCGUGAGAGAAAUCUCUGCUGUUGUGACACCCGCGGCUUGUGGCAUGUUGUCACGGUCGCCCCAGGAUCCCCACACCUGCCAGAUGAUGAGACACGAGGCAUCUGAGGAAAGAGCUCCUCGGCAUCUGGACGAGCAUCUCUACAUACACGUCUGGGUGCUGAAGAUGGAGGACACGCAGCCGCCUCCCCACCCGAGCCGGGCGUCGGGCUGCCCUGCCGUCCCGCUCGCUCCUGUCGUAUGUCCAGUGGAUGACCAGCCUCUGCUGAUGCAGGCGCCCCACCGCUGUCCUGCGACCUCCCCACGCACAUCCCACCCACAGGCCGUGCUC